CGCGUAGGCGGUCUGGAAAGUCAGAAGUGAAAUCCCCGGGCUUAACCCGGGAACUGCUUUUGAAACUUCCGGACUAGAGUGAGAUAGGGGAGAAUGGAAUUCCUGGUGUAGCGGUGAAAUGCGUAGAUAUCAGGAGGAACACCAGCGGCGAAGGCGAUUCUCUGGAUCUCAACUGACGCUGAGGCGCGAAAGUGUGGGGAGCAAACAGGAUUAGAUACCCUGGUAGUCCACACCAUAAACGAUGGAUACUAGGUAUGGGAGGGUCAAAACCUUCCGUGCCGCAGCUAACGCAUUAAGUAUCCCGCCUGGGAAGUACGGUCGCAAGAUUAAA
rnacentral:rRNA from 1 species